rnacentral:lncRNA from 1 species
GUGACUUUGACUGCAGACAACAAUGUGGAGAAUAAUCCUGGCUGUGAAAAGUGCUGUUGGGUCUGCAGAAAAGUACAGAAUAAUUUUGACCAAGGGCAAUCAUGGCUGCUUUUAGAAGACAUCCAAGUAUGCCUGAGUGUUGAAUCUCUUUCUCCAUCCUUGUGUCUCUGCAGUUCAGUGACCUCAACACGGGAGGAGAAAUGUGUGUGUCCCAGAAGCCCCACAUGUUGGUCAAGCCAGCUGAGAAGGUAUACAGUUUAUCAUUUACAUCUUUUAAUUGCACAUUCUCUUUCACUCCUCACCAUCAAACACACCUUAUGGCCAUGAACAUUUCUUGUUAUUCCACUUAAUGGAUACAGAAGAAGAGGGGAAGGGAAAUUAAUGUUCAAACUAACGAUCACCUCCUCUGGGAAGUAUUUGGCUUCGUGGCAGAUUAAGCCUAUUGGGCUGUAUGACGGGCAGUGGUUUGGGUGGGAGAUUCGUGCUUGGAUUAUUUUUUGUUAGCACCGCUGUUAAAUAUUUCACCUCUUUGAGAAUAAUUUCUUCAUAGAUAUAUAUAGUUGCUGGUUUUCAUGCUGGAUGAAAUAAUUCUGUGCCCAC